rnacentral:misc_RNA from 1 species
GAAGUGCGAUAAGUAGUGUGAAUUGCAGAAUUCCGUGGAUCAUCGAAUUUUUGAACGCAAAUUGCACUCUUCGGAAUUCCGAAGAGUAUGCCUGUUUGAGGGUCAUUAAAAUAAAAAUCGAUUCUGUUUACCUUGUCGUGAACAUUUUCGGAAUUGAGCCACCUUUGAGGGUAUAUACUUUUUUAAGAGGCUUAAAAUUGAUCUUUUUUUUUUUUUGGUAUGAUUUAAGCGUACUUAUAUUAACGCUUGAUGAAUAUCGGAUGCUUAUUAGGCAUGACUACGAUCGGUAGCAAUCGUGCCCAUAAUUGUUUCAUGACAUGACCUCAAAUAGGUAGGAUUACCCGCUGAACUUAAGC